CUAAAAGUGAGCCAAAACCGAAUAAAGUAGUAAAAGCCAAAAGUAGGUAAUCGAACUAUCAAUUUCGGCGUUUGCUAGAAACCUUCGACUUCGAUCCAUUUUGACCGAAGCCGAAGGUUUAGCCGAAGGCGGCCGAAGCUGAAAGUACGGUCGGAUACUAGCAAUUAGUAAGUUGCCAACAUAACGAAGUUGUUAAUGAAAUUAGCAGGAGCUGCAAAACUGCACCGUUAACAUAUGAAUAGAGUUUUAAAACAAAAUUGUUUCUAGAAGACCAAUUUCACUUCCAGACCAUUUAAAAAAAAUAGCUUGCACUAAUAAACAUUUUAAAUAGCGGAAAAAUGGCAUGUUUCGUUGUUAUAUCAUUGAGUUCCAAAACGAACUUGUCUUUUCAUCAGUUGCAGGUUUUAUUAGUCUUUUUUAUUAUAGUUUUGUUCACAUUUGGUUGUUCAUUCUUGUUUUUAUAGUGCAAUGAUAGGGCCAUGUUAGCUUUGUUCCUAACUCGAGGCUAUUUUGUGCUAGGUUGCCUUGGGACGGCCUCAAGUCCUGUUUCGUCGACCUAACAUCUCCUGUCUGUGAUUUCAUGAUAGUCGAAAGGGAAUAUCACAAUCACUUUAUACAUUUUUUUUUAAACUUUUUUUUAAAUUAUAACGACGUGGCAUGAAAUGAAAUGUUUUAGCUGUUAACAACUGACUUCUAGAUCAACUAAUAUAGCUAAAUAUUAAGUUGGUAGGUUGGGUUGCGUAUAUCGUUACCACGGUUUAACGAGCAUACAGGUCAGCAUAAUCUUCGAGUUCAACCGUUGCUCUAUGCAUGUUAAAACAACUGUAAGCACGUUAAACUGUGCUGUUACUGUAAAUGUUCUUAGGAUAAUUUAUAUUGUGUUUAUUAAUAAAUUUACACUUAAUAUUAUGUCCAAUGCGAAAAAUGAGAAAUAAUAAAAAUGCCCAAAAGUUAGCAACUGGCAUUGAUAUAAAAAUAUUUUUACUUCAAAGAUCAUACAAAAUUCGAAUCUUUUUCCAGUAGGCUAUUACGUCCGUUGUAUACAAAAGCUUUUUUAUAUACUCACUUCCAUGGUUUACAAUUUUUUUUACAAACAUUGUUUUUCUAUUAACAAUUAUAUUAUUAUGUAGUUUUAAAUAUACUUUUUAUUGUUUUUUAUACAUUUACGGCAAUAUUUUGCGAGUUUAUUAAAAUGCAACACCUGUUUGUGAUUAUUUAAACCAUGUUGUUUGCUUACAAAAAUAUGGUGAUUUUUAUGAAUGCAAAUAUUUUUACGGGUUAUUAAUUUAAUCUUUAAUACUGUAAAAAAGAAAGAAAACAAAGUUAAACAAAAGUCCCGAUCGUCAUAGAAUUGGAAAGCUCUUCCAUCUAUUGUUUAUCAUUCUGUAGCAUGGGGGAGCUCAAUUCGACUAUGAUUCAAUUCUACAAAAAUCCAGUAUCAUAGGUCCGACUACAAAUUUAGUAUGAAACUCGAUUAAUAAAGGCCCAGGCUGAUCUAGCAAAUAGCAAUGCAAUUAGAAUGGCCCUCUGUACUGUUGAAUAGACAUUGUGCCAAACUUUUGGGUGAAUCCUCACAGUAUGGUUUCGUUUUGGGAAUAGAAAAUGCACUUGAAAUAAGAAUUCGAAAGUUUAAUGAACUCCAUCUGUCAACUGUCACAGAAAAUAACGGGUUGCAAUGAAAAUAAUAACUUAUAUCUGUUAUAAGGUUUUUUCCUUGCCAGCUACAAUAUUAGGACCUUGAAAAGAAAGGUACCUCCUGGCUGCAUGUUCACCUACUAUCUACUAUAUGUUGGGUAUGAUUACUUCUAGGCCCCCUUCCAUCUUAAACUGCAUCAUCACUUACCACCAAGUAAGAUUGCAGUCAAGGGUCUAGUCUAUUAUCUGAAUAAAAAAAAAGAGAUGCGUAUAUAGUUAAAAAAUGGUGGAAUGUCAUUCGUAUUCUUCGUUUGAACGCAUUAUACACGCGUUCUAUCCAAUAAAAAUUUUUCGCUGGGUUCACCUAGUUACCAAUUUUUUUUAUUGUAGGUAACUGAAAUCGCAGUCGUUAUCGCCUGAGUUUAUGUUUCUCUACGCAUCGUAUCGUAUUAUUAAAAAUAUGUGUAUCUGUCCUAACUGUGAAGAUUCACCUUCCCUCUGUGACCUCAUCUGUAAUUACAGAUUCUCUUGUCAAUAGAAUUAAUUACGUUUAUAGGUGCAGUGCAUAACCGUGUAGGCUCCUGCGGUAUUGGAGCGAUGCGGAAGGGCUCUCGCCUCACGUCUAAAGAUGAAUUGUACUAGGUUUUUCUAGGUGCCUCUAGUCCAGUUCCGUACAAAUACUCGAUCCAAAUACCUGUUCUGAGGCUGUGUGUACCACUCAUAGUAUAAAGUCUGCCUAGUAUUAAUUGGUGGUGAUGUCCCGGCUAGUCUCAAUUCUCGAGUGUGUACAGACAAAGGUAUUUUAAAAGUUGGAACAAGUAUCGUCAAAUACCUAGUGUCAGGACCUGGGAACGCUUCAUCACACCCUCCCGCACCGCGCCACUACCAAAGGAGCCCACUCAGUUAUGCGUAAUUACUAAUUACAUAUUAUUAUAGUCCGUUGAGAUUACAUUGCGCAUAAUAGUAUUGUCGAAACCGAAGGCUUUAGUAGUUGCUUUUUUUAUUUUAGUUUUAACGCUUAUUGUAAUAGCUAGACAAAUUGUUCCCAUUGUAAGAUAAUAACUGACGAAAUGCUAGUUUAUUUACUAACAAAAUUUAUAUCAUCAUUUUUUGUUAUUCAAGUUGUUAAUAGUGUUAAACUAGAUAAUUAUUUCCAUCCUACUUAGUAUUACUCUACGUAGUACUACUCUACGUAAUACUCUAUCCACGGAAAGAAGUUAGUACGGAAAACAUAGGCUCGUUUGUGAUUGGUUGACCACUCAAACUGGUUAACGCCCACUAACUUUUCGUCUUUGUCAUUUGUAUGGGAUUAUAUAACAGGGAGAGCCCUAUAUUAACUUGUCUCCGUGUGAAUAGAGUAAGUAUAGAGCUGUCUUUAUCAUAAAGAUAUUCAAAAAUCGCACAAAUGGCGAAGCAAGCACGCUUUACCUUUUAUAACUGAUCCCCAAAAAGGAGAUUUUGUAUAUAUGUAUUAUGAAUUUCUCCACGUACUUUGUUAAUUUUUAUAUAUUUUAAAUUGUAAUAAAAGGGAAACUAGCAUUUCUAAUUAGAAAGUACAUUGUUUAUUGUAAUGAAAGGAUCCGCAAAUGGCGCACAAGUGAGAUGUUACUAUAAAUCUAUAUAUUAUAGCAUUGUGUAUUAAAAGUACUUAAUUAGAGACCCACCAAAUAGUAGUGGGGCUUAAGUUGAGCGCACAUCACUGCACGAAACGUAAGCGAUGCAUCUCUUAGCUUGAGAUUUAUAGAGCGCAUUUUGACGCUGCUCAGUCUUAAGACACUGUUAAAAUGAGAAAUUCGUGCUAAGUUUUCUGAUGCGUCGCGUGCGGUUUGUGAUGUAAUGUGCGAUCAGUUUUAUGUAAUUCUAAUAUUUUUGUUGUUAUACUUUAUACUUAUACUUCUUAAUAUAAUUUUUCUUGUGCCAUAAUAAGGACAGUGUGUUUAGUUUGUAAUUCGGUUUUAUACGAGUACAUAUCUCUUAAGUGAACUGAAUCGGCAAUUCUAGAAGUAUAGCUAUCCUUCCCCACAGAGAACAUUGUGAAAAGGAUAGCAUUACUUUUAGACUUGUCAGUUUUAAUAAGAGAUCGAUAUACAGCCGGAAAUGCAAAGUUUCUUGAAUCGUAUUAAUUUUAAGUAUUAACUAUAAAAUCAGAAUUUUAUUACUGCGUUAGGUUCGUUGAGUCAUUCAUUCAGAUUUCAGUGUCAUUAGGUAAAAAUCGCUGAUUUUGUUCCGUAGAUAUAGGAUAAUGGUUCUUAUGCGCUUAUACACAAAGGUGGCUAAUAAAAAUUGAUACAAUGCUUAUACAUGGCUUGCCUCAUAUAUGUUGAAUGUACGACUGUAAUAUGUUUAAGAAGUUUAUAAGCAGUGUGUUAAUUUUUAAUUAGCCUUUUAAUACACUAUUUUGAAUGAUCAAGCAUUCUUUUCAGUUUCCAGUGAUAAAGGCACUUUUUUAGUAAUUACUCUAUGAUUUGGGUACAGCUAAAAUAGACGUUCUAUAGCCUACUUUUAUCAAAAAAUACUAAAAAGGAGCAAAAAAAAUUUAAACGUUCGCCUCAUCCGAUCGGUUGGAUUCGUCAGAUAUCCGAAAUCGGAGACUCGGCCGAAUUAACAAAACUAUUCUGCUAUAUGGAAGCCAAAGCUAUCCGCCAAAUCACAGCCACUGGUCUUAGAAAUGCUGUUGACGGUAGUGGUGAACCCACAGGGUAUGAACAUCCAUAUGGGAAGAAUUGUCGUAAUUCCGAGGUUGGAAUCUCUCACACUAUUCCAUCCCACCCGCCUUGAUAAUAAUAGACGAAGAUAAUAAUUAUAUGGUCUCCAGUAAGGAGCAACUCGAUGACCUGCUAGCUGAUUUACCAACUCAGUGUCUAAUACUGAAAGAUUGCCACCGAGUAUUUGGCAUUUAUUUUCAAUCCAUUGAAGAUUUAGGUAUUUUAAUAUCACUCAGUGAAGCAGCAAUGUAGAACCAACCGAUGUCAAAUGAGGUCGGUGACUAUCAUCUAGUGUUAGACACUGAGUUAGAGAAUCACCCCGCUGAUGUGUGAUGUGUGAUGAUACGCUUGGAAACUAUUGAUGUGCUCAGAAUACAACACCACAGUUAAACGAGAUUUCCACUGAUCCAAGGAUUCAAAAUAGAUAUGGACACCCAGGCCGCACAGACCAUUGAUCAAAGUGGCAAGUCUCUCGCGGCACUUCUGAAGCGGUACUAUGCGAUGUGGAGAAGUGACCAACUAGAGGCCGAAAAGAUUAUACGUGUACUGCCACACUACCUGUCAACAUUGGAGUCGCAAGCUCGCGGACUUGCUAUUGGCGGAUGACGGCUACCUGGCUAAACGUCUUUGAUUAGCAGUCGCCUUUGAGAGUUGAGAGCACUUUAAUAUAAUGCGGGGCGGGGGAGUAAAGAAUAAUAUAUUAUAAUCUGAAAAUAAACUUAAAUAUAAAUUAAAGUUAAACGAAAUCUAAAUCCUCAUCGAGACCGCCGUAACGUGGCAUUGUACCCAAGAUGCUGGCAGCAUUUGGAUGGCCAAACUAAUUCUUUGUCCAAGAUUUAAAUUUAAUCUUAGCGCCGGGAAAAUAAGUAGACCUUAACAUUACUGUAUUGACGGAAGUUGUAAGUAAGCUUCCGAUGUAGGAUAUCCAACGCUUCUGACCGAUCGGGUAAUGUGACGAAUACUGCCGUCCUCUAACUAAAAAAGCUGCAGCUAAUUGGAAAAAAUAAGUUUUUGAGUUAUUGCCAAAAAACGUGGGGGUUUUUAAAAACUAUGUUUCUAAAAAGGAAUGCUACGUAAAACCAAGGUUUGUAGUUAGUUUUUAGUUUGGUCCUAAGAAGCAAACUUUCUUAGAAAUAUCAGUUUUUCUAAAAUCCCAUAUUUUUUGCGAUAACUGUUAAACUAUUUUUAACAGUUAAUGGUUUUUUUAGUUAAAGGUCGGCAGAAUACUGAUCUUCCGGUGUAUCAUGUUUUAUUUCCAUCAAAACAAAAUAAUCGCGGCAUACUAAUGUAAAAUAUAGUAAGAUUUCACUUUACGAUGUUUAGUAGAAAAAUUUCGAACGCGCACAAUUCUAGUGCUAUUAGUAGCUCAAAUCACAUGGAUAUUUUUGGAGCUAGAGCAUCGUGGGGUAUUCAAAAAGUUGCUGUAGAAAAACUUUGGAAAAAAGAGUAGACUUGCUUCUUUUUUCCUACUACGGCUACGCUUCCGUUCUAUUUCUUAAAAACGGUUAACUGCAAAAAGUAGGUUUCGAUUUAUCGCCAAAAAUGAUGCUACAUAAGGUCAAAGCUUUUAGCUAAGUAGUUAGGUUCUUAUUUUUAGAAACAUCAGUUUUUAAAUUGCCACGUUUUUUGGCUGUAACUCAAAAAAAUACUUUUUGCAGUUAACCGCUUUUUAUAAAUAGGACGGCAUUACGCUCAAAAUCUUGAGCGUCUAUUUUGCACGUAGAGGUACUUCGAGAUGUUCAUGCGCCAAGUAAAAAUUUCGCAUAAAUAGUAACUGAACAUAUCACAAAUUUUCCGUUUUAAAUGUUUUAUAUCAAAAAUGUAUAUUGUUCUGUAUGAGAUGCUCGUUUUAGAAUUUAUUUGCGAUAUCCGUCACAAGUCCAAAUGUUGUAAUGUAAGAUUAUAUUAUUAUGAUUAUAUUGUAGCGAACGUUUGGAGCUAUGUUUUAGUGAAAUAUAAUUUCAGAUGUUUACGAUAUGUGUUGUACCGCGGGGUACUUUGUUAUUUUGUACUCAUUUUUUAAAUGUUUAUAAUUAUUAUGAGAAUAUAUUUUACGCUUCCCAGAGGUGUUUUAGCCAAAGAAAUGGAUAAAUAUUGUACAAAUACAAAACAGAGCGGCUUAAAGCCUUAUGUUAAUCUUAGUUGGUCUUGCCAGUGUUUACAGAUAUGUGUAUAGGGUACAAAUACAAUGUUUUUGCUAAAGAUAAAUAUAACAAAAACGUUUUUGUAUGAGUGACGCAUGCGCCGCGAGGUACACUUUCCGUUCUAAUAUUACUUACUCGUGUGUGACUUGUUUUUAUUAAUUCCUCUGGAAUCUCGGACAGAUUUAUACAUUCUCUGCAGUAUUAUUAUUGUUAUAUGUUGUUUAACUCUCAUUCAUUAGUAUUUUUAUUUUCGUCUCAAUUUUUUAACACCUGCGAUAAAAGUUCCAAGUCCUAAAGGGAAAUUGUUUACUUGUUAGAUUAAAAAAAUUGUUUCAAAUGUAACACGGUUUUUAGAAAAUGUGUAGUUAACUGUGAGAUUAACGUUAAGUAUAGAUUGUUUGGGUUUUAAUUUGAUUGGUGUUGUUUAUCGAAGUGUACCUCGCGCGAAAUAAUUGUAUGUUGUGUUAAUUAAUUGUAGCUAACACGAGGAUGUAAGGCGCGCCGCCAUCUCGUCUCGCGCGCGACGUCGCGUGGCGUUGCGUGACGUCACGCGACGUCGCCGACGCGACGACAGCGAUCAGCGCUGCGCCAUAUCUAUAUUUGUUGUUUGUUCAGUGAUCACUUAGAAUGUAUUUAGCUGGAUAAAUUAAUACAUAUAAUAUAGUUUUAUGAUGAAAUAAAAUAUGUAUAUGUAAUCCUA